rnacentral:misc_RNA from 1 species
UCUUUAUCCAAAACAUCCACAUUUGCCUGUCUGUACUCCAAUAUAGCCCUUACAAGUUCUGCAUUGCCACGUCUACAAGCCAGGUGAAGAGCAGUCUGCCCAUCACCAUUUUGUGCUUCUAACAGUAUAGAUACUGAGCCACCACCAUUUCCUGAUGCAGCCUUUGCAAGCAGAUCUCUCACACCAUGUACAUCCCCUUCUGAAACUAGCCUAUGCAAAUGGCUAGGAUUGUCCUGAAAGACCUCCAAAUCAGAUGUGGGAGAUGGUUC